rnacentral:rRNA from 1 species
UGCAGUCGAGGGGUAUAAGUCUUCGGAUUUAGAGACCGGCGCACGGGUGCGUAACGCGUAUGCAAUCUGCCUUUCACAGAGGGAUAGCCCAGAGAAAUUUGGAUUAAUACCUCAUAGUAUUACGACCCGGCAUCGGGAUGUAAUUAAAGUCACAACGGUGAAAGAUGAGCAUGCGUCCCAUUAGCUUGUUGGUAAGGUAACGGCUUACCAAGGCAACGAUGGGUAGGGGUCCUGAGAGGGAGAUCCCCCACACUGGUACUGAGACACGGACCAGACUCCUACGGGAGGCAGCAGUGAGGAAUAUUGGACAAUGGGCGCAAGCCUGAUCCAGCCAUGCCGCGUGCAGGAUGACGGUCCUAUGGAUUGUAAACUGCUUUUGUACGAGAAGAAACACUGAUUCGCGAAUCAGCCUGACGGUAUCGUAAGAAUAAGGAUCGGCUAACUCCGUGCCAGCAGCCGCGGUAAUACGGAGGAUCCAAGCGUUAUCCGGAAUCAUUGGGUUUAAAGGGUCCGUAGGCGGUCUUGUAAGUCAGUGGUGAAAGCCCAUCGCUCAACGGUGGAACGGCCAUUGAUACUGCUGGACUUGAAUUAUUAGGAAGUAACUAGAAUAUGUAGUGUAGCGGUGAAAUGCUUAGAGAUUACAUGGAAUACCAAUUGCGAAGGCAGGUUACUACUAAUGGAUUGACGCUGAUGGACGAAAGCGUGGGUAGCGAACAGGAUUAGAUACCCUGGUAGUCCACGCCGUAAACGAUGGAUACUAGCUGUUGGGAGCGAUCUCAGUGGCUAAGCGAAAGUGAAAAGUAUCCCACCUGGGGAGUACGUUCGCAAGAAUG